UACACGCUGUGACUAGCAUAUCAAUAAGCGGAGGAAAAGAAACUAACAAGGAUUCCCUUAGUAACGGCGAGUGAAGCGGGAAGAGCUCAAAUUUGAAAUCUUAAAGGGUUUCCCUUUACGAAUUGUAGUUUAAAGAAGUGUUUUCUGUUGAGGUUUUGGUAAAAGUUCUUUGGAAUAGGACAUCAUAGAGGGUGAGAAUCCCGUAUUUGACCUUUACUUUCAACUUUGUGAUACACUUUCAAAGAGUCGGAUUGUUUGGGAAUGCAGUCCAAAAUGGGUGGUAAAUUUCAUCUAAAGCUAAAUAUUGGCGAGAGACCGAUAGCGAACAAGUACCGUGAGGGAAAGAUGAAGAGAACUUUGAAAAGAGAGUUAAACAGUACGUGAAAUUGUCAAAAGGGAAGCGUUUGACACCAGUGUUGUUUUUCUGAAAAUCAAUUAAAGAACUGUUUAUGCUAAGCUGUUUAGACUUUAUCAGCUAACUGUUUAGUUUUGAGCUUUUCUUUAAUGCACUUUUCAGUUAACAAGUCAACAUCAAUUUCUUUUGCUGUAAAAAAGCUUGAGGAAGGUGGCUUGAGAUUCGUCUUAAGUGUUUAUAGCCUCUUGCCUAUGCAGUCGGAGAGAUUGAGGUCUGCAGCGUAGAUCCUUCGGGGCUAAAUGCAUUUGUGCUAAGUUAUAGCAUUUUAUAGACAACUUGUUGACUAUGAUUUGUCUUGUAGCUUACUCGCUUAUGUUAUUUUACCUACGCUUAGGAUGUUGAUAUGCAUGACUGAUAU
rnacentral:rRNA from 1 species